GCCUGAGUAGCUCAGUGGUUAGAGCGUUCGUUUCAUAAGCGAAAAGUCGUGGGUUCGAUUCCCACCUUAGGCA
rnacentral:tRNA from 1 species